UACGGAGGGUGCAAGCGUUAUCCGGAUUUACUGGGUUUAAAGGGUGCGUAGGUGGGUUGGUAAGUCAGUGGUGAAAUACUUUCGCUUAACGAAGGAACUGCCAUUGAUACUACCAGUCUUGAAUACAGUGGAGGUAGGCGGAAUGCGUCAUGUAGCGGUGAAAUGCUUAGAGAUGACAUAGAACACCUAUUGCGAAGGCAGCUUACUACGCAGAUAUUGACGCUCAUGCACGAAAGCGUGGGGAUCAAACAGG
rnacentral:rRNA from 1 species